rnacentral:tRNA from 1 species
GUCUCAGUAGCUCAGGGGAUAGAGCAGCGGUCUUCUACUCGCGGGUCUUGGGUUCAAAUCACUCCUGAGACU